CACCAAUCAAGCCUUGCUUGGUAUUGGGCCUGGUUCCCUUGUAAAAAGGGGGACCGACCUUAAAGAUCGUGGCGGCAUGGUCCGGCUUCAAGCGUAGCAAAUGUUUUCGCUCAUGAGGUUUCCGGAUGAUGUUCUGUCCAUAAAUCAUUAUUUUUCAAA
rnacentral:misc_RNA from 1 species